GCAUUGUAUGAAAGGGGAGAAGGUCGGCACCCCAAGCAUGGAAACGGUCCUACUGGCCCACAUAUGGGUAAGGCAUUCCCACUCACUGCACAGUAAAACUACAACUAUGG